AACGAACGCUGGCGGCAGGCUUAACACAUGCAAGUCGAGCGCCCCGCAAGGGGAGCGGCAGACGGGUGAGUAACGCGUGGGAACGUGCCCUUUGGUUCGGAACAACUCCGGGAAACUGGAGCUAAUACCGGAUAAGCCCUUCGGGGGAAAGAUUUAUCGCCAAAGGAUCGGCCCGCGUCUGAUUAGCUAGUUGGUUAGGUAGUGGCUCACCAAGGCGACGCUCAGUAGCUGGUCUGAGAGGAUGAUCCGCCACACUGGGACUGAGACACGGCCCAGACUCCUACGGGAGGCGGCAGUGGGGAAUAUUGGACAAUGGGCGCAAGCCUGAUCCAGCCAUGCCGCGUGAGUGAUGAAGGCCUUAGGGUUGUAAAGCUCUUUUGUCCGGGAAGAUAAUGACUGUACCGGAAGAAUAAGCCCCGGCUAACUUCGUGCCAGCCGCCGCGGUAACAC
rnacentral:rRNA from 1 species